rnacentral:lncRNA from 1 species
GAUACAUGUGCAGGACGUGCAGGUUUGCUACAUAGGCUCGAUGAUUUCUGGGGGCCUUUUGAAAUACCAUCCUGACUUGCAGAAGUCAUAGUUUGAUAUUGCUGCUUGCUGGCUUAAGAAGAGUUUUGAUCAGAGCAUUUGGGUAAAGCCAUUGAAGCACAUUGAGACAAGAGGUUUGUCUGAAGUCAUGGAGGGGGGUUGCAGAAGAGUGAGAUCUAAAACCUUGGUUUUUGGGCAUCCCCCUAUUUCUAUUUUAUUUCCAUUAUUACACACUGGCUUCCAAAUGAAUAGAAUAAGUUUAGAAGGAUUAGGCCAAGAAUUUUAAACAGGUUUAAAAUUUAAAGACUUUAUUUGGACUUUAUCCUGGACGUUAUUUAAAGAUUGUGGGAACUGAUUUUAGUUAAUAUUGAAUAGAGCAUGUGUUAAAUGAAUGUAUGUGAAUAUGCACGAAAUGCAUUAAGCUUCAGUUUCAGGUUUUUUUCAAGGUAGGAGGGAAAGAAAGAUGUAGAGUCCUGCUAUUACCCUAAUUUAUGAUGUUUACUUAUUCCUACCUAUCUGACUAAUGCUCCUUUUGUUCUCUUUAUAAUUCUCAGUUUGUAUCUACUACCUCUGUCCCCCCAAGAGCUGCAAACAUUAGCUGAUUAAUACUCAGUCUUCUUAGCUGCUGUGAUCAGUAGAAGUAAUCUCUCAUAGCAUGUUGAUAUCUAAAUCAACAUAAUAUAUCUAAAUCACCUUUGCUAAUCUGUUGGAAUUUGCUUAGUGUUUCCUGAGCUUAUAUCUCCACUACCACAAUAUGUUUGGAAAAAGAAGUACCCAGGACAUAAAGAUAUGAGAAUUCAAUUCUGUAAAAGAGAAUAGAUUUCACUUUUGCAGUUUGAAACGUUUCAUCAAAGUCUUUUUUAAAAAAGUUUUGUUUUCUUUUUUUUCCAGUUCAAGUUAUUCUGAAGAGAGUUUUUCCACAUACAAACUGCCAACUUGGCCAUUUUCCUAUCUAUCUAUCUAUCUAUCUAUCUAUCUAUCUAUCCACCCAUGCAUAUAUUUUUGUUCUUUUUUUUUUUUUUUUUUUUUUUUUGAGACAGAGUCUUGCUCUGUUGCCCAGGCUGGAGUGCAGUGACAUGAUCUUGGCUCACUGCAACCUCCGCCUCCCAGGUUCAAACAAUUUUACUGCCUCAGCUUCAUGAGUAGCUGGGAUUAGCAGUGCCUGCCAUCACACCCGGCUAAUUUUUGUAUUUUUAGCAGAGAAGGGGUUUCGCCAUGUUGCUCAGGCUGGUCUGGAACUCCUGACCUCAAGUGAUCCACUUGCUUUGGCCUCCCAAAGUGGUGGGAUUACAGGCAUGAGCCACCACACCAGGCCCAUUUUCCAUUAUAUUUAAUACUCUCUUUUUUCUCCUCACCCAAAUAACAUAGGAGAAGGGAAAAAACCCUUGAGGCUAGAAAGAGAAGUAAUAUUUUGGAAAUCUCUGUGGUUCAGCGGUAUGUUAUCUUGCAAUUUAAAGUGUCAUUUGAUUUAUUUUUUGAAGACUAUGUUAUGGACUGAAUGUUUGUGUUUCUCCCACUAAAUUCAUAUGUUGAAAUCCUAACCCCCAAUGUGAUGGUAUUAGAGAAUGGGGUUUUGGAAGGUAAUUAGAUUAUGGAGGUGUAGGUCUCAUGAAAGGAUUAAUGCUCUUAUAAAAGGGACCCCAGAGAGAACUCAUUCACCUUCUUUCCAACGGGUGCGGGUACAGAAGUCUGCAGCCUGCACACGGAAGAGGACCCUCACCAGAGCCUGACCUUGCUGGCACCCUGAUCUUGGACUUCUGGCCUCCAGAACAUUGAGUAAUACAUUUUUGUUGUGUAUAAACCACCCAGUCUAUGGUACUUUUGUAAAGCAGCCUGAACUGAGUAACAUAUUGAGAUUAUUAAUUAUAGCCAAAUCUUGAUUAUUUGUACACUAUAUGAAUUCUCUGUCCAUGCACUUGAUCAGAGAUUGAAUUUGGCUACUGUGGUGGCCUAAAUAAUUACCUACCAAAGAGGUCUAUGUCUUAAUACCUGGAUCCUGUUAACAUGUUACUUAAGACGGCAAAAGGGACUGCAGAUGUGGUUAAGUUAAGGAUCUUGAGAUGGGGCGAUUACCUUGGGCUAUUCAGGUGGAUCUAAUGUGAUCCCAAGGGUCCUUAUAAGAGGAAAGCAGUGGAGUUGGAGUCAGAGAGGAAAAGAUAUGCUUAUGCAACCAGAGGUUGGAGUGAUGGGCUUUGAAGUUGGAGGAAGAGACCAUGAGCCAAGGAAUGUAGGCAGCCACUAGAUGCUGGAAAAAAUAAGGAAGCCCAUUCUCUCCUAAACCCUCCAGAAGAAAGAGGCUUGGUGCAGCUGUGCCAAGUGCCUUGAUUUUAGACUUCUGACCAAAACUGUAAGAGAAUAAACUACCACUAAGCUUGUGGUAAUUUGUUACUGGUGCAGUAGGAAACAAUUACACUUACCUCUCUGGGUUAUCAAGGAAUGGAAGCAAAUUUGAAUUUCCCAGUGAAAAUCUACAAGAGAAAGAACCAGCUUUUGGAUCUCAAACACCAGAACACAUAUAUUGGGUCAUCACCUGCAUGGCCUGCGGUGGAGCCAGGGGCCAAAACACAACAAGGGAAACUAAAGUCUCCUGUGACAAAUUAAUUGGAGGAGAGGAUAGGAGAAAAACAAGCAUCCCACUCCUUCUCUUUACUCAAGUGGUCUGCGAAGUCGAGUCGUGGAAGGGAGAAUAAAACUCCAUUUUGUAAUGCUUUUUAAAGACGUGGCCAUAGCCAAGAUGCAGGACUUUUAAAGAUACAAUAAUCCUAGAAUUUUCUAGAACUUUUAAUCAUAAGCCUCAAAAAGUAUUCAAUCACUUGAUGGUGGCACCCACAAACCCCACAUGCUGUUGUCUGGCAUAGUCAGUGCUCUUUGAAGAAUACACUCACAAUUCUCAUUGUUUUAUUGUACCCGUUAUUCCUGGCUGGUCUCAGUUUUUAUGAAGCCCAGAAGGAAAACCUGUCCUAAACCAUCAACAGUUGCAAAGUUUAAAAUGUAGAUUCUGAUAAAUGCUGUUUUUAUAUGCGGUCUUCUCUCCUGCUGCCCAUCGGGGAUUGAUUUGUCCCCCUUUCCCCCCUGAUUUUAGAAAGUAUUUGCUUUGGAAAGUGGUUAUAUGACUUAUUGUCCAAGUAAAAAAUAAUUUAUCUUUACAUGGGUGCUGAAUUUAAAAACUUAACAUAUGAUUAUGUAUAACUUGAUCUAUUCUCAGGAAAGAGAUGAACAGGUUAAGCAGUUUGUACUCACUGGGCUGUUGGUAUUAUACAAAGUAAGAUGGGAUGCUAUUUAUUUGCCUUCAAUCCUUACUGGGGAAGCAAAACAUCAAUGCCUUGAAAAGGCUAGUUCACGAAGCACAAAUACCAGGUGGUCUUACAUCCCAGGGAAGGAUGUAAAGCUAAAGGAGUGAGAGAAGAAAGUGGGCUGGAUGGAGAUGGUGAAAGAAAUCUCCCCAGAUGGGAUGGGGCCCAGUUCGAUUUGGAAGCCUAGGGAAGAAUUUAGAAAUGUGAUAAGAAAGGAGGAAGGGGCGAGUUUAAGAUGCCAGGGGACAGCACCAGCAAUUCUGAGCUCAUCAAGUUUGAAAGAUGGAGAGGAGCCCUGCUUUGUGCAUUUAUAAUCUAAUUUGAGGACAGGCCACUGCGGUAUUUUUCUUUUCCCUGGGAUGCUUAAGAGAAAUACGCUCCUCAUUCCCAGGUGGGGCACAGCUUUUCCUCUGUUUUGCCAGCCUUAGCUGGUGAAGUGCUGUUGCAGUCGUAAUGGCAGACUCUUCUCCAACAGGCACAGACCUAUCUUGAAGGCGUAGCAUCCUGUCACUUUUCACUUAGCAUUUGCUUCAAAUAGAUGAAAAAAAAAAAGUUCUAGCAAUUGGAAGUUUUGCAGUAUCAACAAAACCUGUGUGAGAACUAGUCCUUACAUGUAAAGUCUGCCCGUUAAAAUCUGGUAUCUCAGGUUCCCCCACUCCUCAUCAUAACCUGCUAAUAAGGUAUAAUUUUGACAUUAUCAAGAUUUGCACUUGUCUUUAUUUAUUUAUUUGUGAACAGUUUCGAGCUAGGUGCCAUGAGAAAUAAAAUGUUCUACCAGUCAUGGUCCCUACCCUGAAAUUUUGAAAAAAAAAUUUUUUUUGGCCUGUCUCAGAGCUUGAAAGUCUGACAAACUCUGAAAAACCAUCCUUUGAAAGUGAAAACAAAGCGGGUUACGUCAGAUUCUGUUUUGAGGCAUGGUUUCCUAAUUAUCUCGUAGGACUCAAAAACCUUUUAGAAGAAAAACCUAAUUUUGGAAAUAAACUUCUUUCCAAGAGUGAAAACGUGCCACACGGCUGAGUGCUGUUAUUAUAACUGAGAAGGAGAAUUUGCAGGCUGCGCAUGAGGCCAGCAGCCACAGCACCUUCUGUACUUGUUUUUCACUUGUGUGCUCACAGAACACUCCCAAACUCACCUUCUUCCAGCUCUUGGUAUUAAUGGCAUGGUCUCCAACCUUCACAACCAAAUAUGACACACAAUGGCUUGCUAUAAUAAAACUCCAAGCCCUUUAAGCCAACAAAGCUCUUCACAUUCACAUCAAGUCUUCAACAAGAUUUUUCAAAACUUCCUCUUUGGGUACCAUUUUCAGGGCCAAAUACACUAUUUGUUGUUGUCUGUGCAUAGCACCUAUUAAGUAGUGACUCCAGCAUUUAUCUAUUUGUCUACUCUCAUUUGACACUGUGUGCUGUACUUCCAUAUUUCCAACAGACUGGUGGGAUGAAGGCACCUAAAUUCAGUAAGUUCAAAGCCAAGCUAAUUAAUUUUCUCCCUAAAUUACUUAAAUCACCGACGUCAGCUAAUUACCUCACGAGUCAUCCUGAUGCUCAAACCAGGCACCUCAAACUCUUCCACAAGCUCUUCUCUUUUGCUCCUGUCCUCCAUCCUCCUCAGGGCCUCCAUUCCCACAGAGCCUCUGCUUCAUUUCAGACUCACUUAAUUUCUCACUGGAUUAGCACCAGACACCUUGUUUUUUCCCCCUGCUAUUUCUAACCUAGUGUUUGCAUGGCUUCAAGUAAAAUAUCUUCCCAAAACAUAAAAUUGUUCAUUAUAGUAUCUUUUCAAAAACCGUUUACCCAAAGAAAAAUAUUCUUGAGAUGAAUUAUGUCCUCCUUUGUAAUCUGGCACUAACCUACUUUAUUUUUGCUCUAGAUACAUAGAACUUAUUAGUCCCUUCCCAGAUCUAUUAUUCUUUGUUAAGUCUUUUUGUUUAUCCUCAUUUUUACUUGAAAUUCCUCUCCACCUAUAUCUACAUGUUAAAACACUCUUUUUAAAGACAGUUCAAAUGCCACCACAUCAAUAACUCAUUCCUGAUUUGGCCCUUUCAACUCUCAUUACUCUUUAUCUCUGUCUCUCUUCUGGUGAAUAUCAAACUUACCUAAUAGCAUAAUUUAAUAGAAGAAAGUUUGAAAUGGUCAUCACAAGUUUAGGUUCAAGUCUUGAGCUUUUCCUUAUCUGUGAUCUUGGGCAGGAUAUUUAAUUCUUUCUCAGUCAUUAAGAAGUGGAUACGAUUCCUUACUUUUGAGGGAUAAUUUACUUUUAUUAAAUUAUGAAGUGCUACAAAUGUGAUUUGUUAGUAUUCGAGGGACCAGAAAAUGGUUAUAAGACUAAGGCCAUGCUUGAAGGUUCUAUGGGGCAGAUCCCUUGAAAUCAAAACUUAUGGUUGAAGAGGCCAGGAGUGGAUUUAUGUACAAUGAACACAAUUAGCAGAGAGCAGUCCAAAGUGUCUUUGAAUUGACAGUGUCUAUCUCUAAGUUCAUAGAAGUCUACUUGCUACCAUUGUGUAAAUAAAAAUGCAUGUUUUUUGCUUUUGUUUUUUUUUUUUGGAAAUGGGCAAAUUUGGGUUUAAAUGCUGAGCAAACCCUCACUAGCCAUGUAGCAUGGAGUGAGUUAUCUAACCCCUGGGAACCUCAGCUCCUCACCUGUAAAAACAAUUUACUGGUAAAAAUUUGCAAAAGCCCACUAUGAAAGGCACCAAUGCUGUGAAGCAUCAUUCCUUUUAGAUGGCAAAGUUACAGAAAAUUCCAAAGUAAAGGAUGUUGAUUUUUUGUAAGAAAUGGAAAAGGACCUCAGUCUCCAUGGUGUCCUGAGGAAGUGUUUUCAGCUGUUAGUCCAAUCAUAGAACUGGGGUUUCUACUACUGGAGGAAUUUCAGGCAGCACUCUUCUCAUCUCUGAAGCUGAACACGGGAAGAGUAGAGUGUUGAUAAAGAGUGGAUGCUUUCAGAAAAUCUGCAGUCUGUGAGGAGAGUCCAAGAGUUUUCAGGAAGGGUUGGAAGACUCAUGAGAUGGACAUGUAGAUGGAGUAGUUUUCUUUCUUUUUUUGAGACAGGGUCUGGCCCUGCCACCCAGGCUGAAGUGCAGUGGUGCAGUCUCAGCUCACUGCAGCCUCAACCUCUUGGGCUCAAGCUAUCCUCCUGCCUAAGCCUCCCAAAGAUGUGAGCCACUGUACCCAACUUGAUUUUCUUCUUCCUUCUUAUUUUUAACUGCACUCUUGGUACUUGGACUUAGGAUAAUCAUAGCCUCAUGGGCACUCCAAGUGGUGUUGUUUGUUCCAUUUUCGUUGAAUAAAAGCUACACACACAUUUUCUUUAAUGCCUUCUCUUCUCUUCUCUCCUCUCCUCUCCUCUCCUCUCCUUUCUUCUCUUCUCUUCUCUUCUCUUUUCUUCUCUUCUCUUCUCUCUUCUCUUCUCUUGCCAGGUUUUUGAUACCUGAUAUAAUUGCUAGAGGACAUGGUAUACUUUAAAUUUUUUUUUUCCAAAUCAUCUCCUCUACUUUUUAUGGAAUAGUAAAACUAAUUUAUAUUAUAAUCACAUGAAGGAGGGUGGGAGGACUUUAAGUUGCUUUUGGUUCUCGGCCUUUGACUUGUUGGUAAAUCAAAUACAUAAGUGUUGUUGUGAGAGCUAAAUACAUAAGGUACAUAAAGUAAACAUUUUAUAUAUAACAAGCACUAAAUAAUUCAUUUUUUCCUUCUUUUCUUCCUAUAUUUUUCCCAUCCGAAAUAUUUUCCCUGGAACUUAUAGUAUGUCUGAUAUAAAUAAAAAUAGAUUCAGCUUGCCUCCUGAGACAAGGAUUGCAACUGGAUGUGUUAAGAAGGAUUGUGAAGCUCUCUUUGAGUGCACUGGGAAACAGGGUUAUGGACAAUUAAGAAAGUUUGCCAUGGGAAAUGCCAUGGGGACAGUGGUAGCAGGCAAACAAGGUGUUUUCCAUCCUUGAUGUAUGUAGAUGACAUGUGGCUGUUCGGCUUGUGCAAAUGUUCCUGGAAAGUUUCCUGUUAAAUGCAUAGAUAAAUGCUUAAGACCUAAUCGCAAACUCAAUAAUACUUAUUUCAUUUUGAAAUGAGGAAGUUCUGACUGUGUAUAUAAAGUUGCAUUUUUCUUGUUAUUGUUUAAACUCAUGGUUCUGAUAACUAAAAUCUUGAAGAAAAAAAGCAAACAAAACCACCAAAAUGUUGUGAAAUGUUUUCUCUACUUCUUUAGUUCCUGAAAAACAAAAUGGAUAAUGCUUUUGAAACUCAAUUUCAGCAUAAUGAAUAAAAUGACCUAUCAUUAAAA